rnacentral:rRNA from 1 species
ACUCCUGCGGGAGGCAGCAGUGGGGAAUUUUGGACAAUGGGCGAAAGCCUGAUCCAGCCAUGCCGCGUGCAGGAUGAAGGCCUUCGGGUUGUAAACUGCUCUUGUACGGAACGAAACGGCCUUUUCUAAUAAAGAGGGCUAAUGACGGUACCGUAAGAAUAAGCACCGGCUAACUACGUGCCAGCAGCCGCGGUAAUACGUAGGGUGCAAGCGUUAAUCGGAAUUACUGGGCGUAAAGCGUGCGCAGGCGGUUAUGUAAGACAGUUGUGAAAUCCCCGGGCUCAACCUGGGAACUGCAUCUGUGACUGCAUAGCUAGAGUACGGUAGAGGGGGAUGGAAUUCCGCGUGUAGCAGUGAAAUGCGUAGAUAUGCGGAGGAACACCGAUGGCGAAGGCAAUCCCCUGGACCUGUACUGACGCUCAUGCACGAAAGCGUGGGGAGCAAACAGGAUUAGAAACCCUUGUAGUCCCAUGAU